UUCUGGCUCAGAUGACGCUGGCGGCGUGCUUAACACAUGCAAGUCGCGCGUGAAAGGACUUCGGUCCGAGUAAAGCGGCGCACGGGUGAGUAACGCGUGGAUGAUCUACCCAUGAGUUAGGAAUAACGGCUGGAAACGGUCGCUAAUACCAAAUACGCUCCGAUUUCAACUUCGGGGGAAAGGUGGCCUCUGCUUGCAAGCUACUGCUCAUGGAUGAGUCCGCGUCCCAUUAGCUAGUUGGUGGGGUAACGGCCCACCAAGGCGACGAUGGGUAGCCGGUCUGAGAGGAUGACCGGCCACACUGGGACUGGAACACGGCCCAGACUCCUACGGGAGGCAGCAGUGGGGAAUAUUGCGCAAUGGGCGAAAGCCUGACGCAGCGACGCCGCGUGAGGGGAAUGAAGGUCCUCGGAUCGUAAACCUCUGUCAGGAGGGAAGAACCGCCACGGUGCUAAUCAGCCGUGGUCUGACGGUACCUCCAAAGGAAGCACCGGCUAACUCCGUGCCAGCCGCCGC
rnacentral:rRNA from 1 species